AAGCAAAAAUUCAUAUUUUGCAGCCCAAAUAAUGUCAUAAUCUGAUUAAUUUAAGCAUAUACUUACUUAUAUAAUAAGCAAAAGACAUACACAUUUAUACUUUAUUUAUAAUCAUAUAUAAGUGUAGAGAUUAGAGAGAGAGAAAGAAAGAAAGAAAGAAAGAAAGGGUGCGUAUAUGUUUAUGUGUGCGUGCGUGCGGUGAAGCAAAGAAAGAAGCGUCGAAAUAAUGGACAAUUUAUUGUUGAUAGUAUUAGCAAUAUUGUUGUCUUCGAUAAUAAUCUUGUACAGGAACAAGUGGUUUAGUAUCAUCAUCAUCAGAUCAUCAUCAUCAUCAUCAUCAAAGUACAGAACCCCACUUCCUUUAGGCAGUCUUGGAUGGCCUUUUCUGGGGGAAACCCUUGAGUUCGUUUCUUCUGCUUACUCAGACCGCCCUGAAAGCUUCAUGGAUAAACGUCGCCGCAUGUAUGGGAAGGUGUUUAAAUCACAUAUUUUUGGAACUCCAACGAUAGUAUCAACAGAUGCAGAAGUGAGCAAAUUUAUACUGCAAAGUGAUGCAAAAACAUUUGUUCCUUCUUACCCAAAAUCUUUGACAGAGUUGAUGGGAAAAUCCUCCAUUUUGCUCAUCAAUGGAAGCUUACAGAAGAGAAUUCAUGGCCUCAUAGGAGCUUUCUUCAAGUCUGCUCUACUCAAAGCUCAAAUUACUAGAGACAUGCAAGUUUAUGUUCAAGAAUCUAUGAAUAAAUGGAAAUAUGACCAACCCAUUUACAUACAAGACGAAACCAAAAAUAUUGCUUUUCAAGUCUUAGUCAAGGCAUUGAUUAGUUUGGAUCCAGGUCAAGAAAUGGAGUCACUCAAAAAACAGUUUCAAGAAUUUAUCUCUGGUCUUAUGUCUUUACCUAUUAACGUCCCAGGAAGUCAACUUUACCGCUCAUUACAGGCCAAGAAGAAAAUGGUGAAGUUAGUGAAAAAAAUUAUAAAAUCUAAAAGAGAGCAUCAUAAUGGCAUGUCAUUAGUGCCUAAAGAUGUGGUUGAUGUUUUGCUUAAUGAUUCAAAUGAACAAUUAACCGAUGACUUAAUCGCGGAUAAUAUGAUCGAUAUGAUGAUUCCAGGGGAGGAUUCUGUGCCUGUUCUUAUGACUCUUGCUGUAAAAUACCUUUCAGAUUGCCCUGCUGCCUUGCAACAAUUAACGGAUGAGAACAUGAAAUUGAAAAGUCUCAAAGCUCAGCUUGGGGAGCCAUUAAAUUGGACUGAUUACUUAUCAUUGCCAUUUACACAGAAGGUAAUCACAGAAACUUUAAGAAUAGGAAAUAUUAUAAUUGGUGUAAUGAGAAAGGCAAUGAAGGAUAUAGAGAUAAAAGGAUAUUUGAUACCCAAGGGAUGGUGUGCUUUUGCAUACUUUAGAUCAGUUCAUCUUGAUGAAAAUCACUAUGAUUGGCCUUACCAAUUCAAUCCUUGGAGGUGGCAAGACAAGGACAUGAGCAGUUGCAACUUCACUCCAUUUGGAGGUGGACAAAGAUUAUGUCCUGGACUAGAUUUGGCCAGGCUUGAAGCUUCCAUUUUCUUGCACCACUUUGUUACUCAAUUUAGUUGGGUGGCUGAGGAAGACACAGUUGUAAACUUCCCCACAGUUCGAAUGAAGAGAAGAAUGCCAAUUUGGGUCAAGAGAAGAGAAUAAAGAAAGGAAGAGAUGAUCCUUGAGCAUAUAAAAACCCUUUUUUUACAAUGAUAGAAAGGAAAGCACACGAAGAAAAAGACUAAAAGGCAUCAAAAUAACAAUUAUUAUAUAUAAUUAAGGAAUAUCGCAAGAGUGCACACGUGUGGGGGCAUCAACAAGACUGACACGUUUGUCCUCUUCCAUAUAACAUAUAGAUAUUGCAAAUAUAGACCAUAGAUAUAUAUAUUUUUUCAAUUUUGUGGGUACCCAUUUAAUUAUAUUCUAUGAUCACUCAUUUUUACUUCUAUUUUAUUUUAAUUUUUACCUUAGCAUGGCCAUGUAUAAUUGUAAAAGAUAGAAUUGGUGACUUGAGGUUUGUCAAUGAUUUGUGGAUAUGGGUCCCAGUGAACAAGUACUUCCAUUUUAAAAAUAUAUGUGAAAUUCUAGUUCUGUAAUUAAUAAUUUAAAUUCA